rnacentral:rRNA from 1 species
CCUUAGAGUUUGAUCCUGGCUCAGGAUGAACGCUAGCUACAGGCUUAACACAUGCAAGUCGAGGGGCAUCAGGAAGAAAGCUUGCUUUCUUUGCUGGCGACCGGCGCACGGGUGAGUAACACGUAUCCAACCUGCCCUUUACUCGGGGAUAGCCUUUCGAAAGAAAGAUUAAUACCCGAUAGCAUAAUGAUUCCGCAUGGUUUCAUUAUUAAAGGAUUCCGGUAAAGGAUGGGGAUGCGUUCCAUUAGGUUGUUGGUGAGGUAACGGCCCACCAAGCCUUCGAUGGAUAGGGGUUCUGAGAGGAAGGUCCCCCACAUUGGAACUGAGACACGGUCCAAACUCCUACGGGAGGCAGCAGUGAGGAAUAUUGGUCAAUGGGCGCUAGCCUGAACCAGCCAAGUAGCGUGAAGGAUGAAGGCUCUAUGGGUCGUAAACUUCUUUUAUAUAAGAAUAAAGUGCAGUAUGUAUACUGUUUUGUAUGUAUUAUAUGAAUAAGGAUCGGCUAACUCCGUGCCAGCAGCCGCGGUAAUACGGAGGAUCCGAGCGUUAUCCGGAUUUAUUGGGUUUAAAGGGAGCGUAGGUGGACUGGUAAGUCAGUUGUGAAAGUUUGCGGCUCAACCGUAAAAUUGCAGUUGAUACUGUCAGCCUUGAGUACAGUAGAGGUGGGCGGAAUUCGUGGUGUAGCGGUGAAAUGCUUAGAUAUCACGAAGAACUCCGAUUGCGAAGGCAGCUCACUGGACUGCAACUGACACUGAUGCUCGAAAGUGUGGGUAUCAAACAGGAUUAGAUACCCUGGUAGUCCACACAGUAAACGAUGAAUACUCGCUGUUUGCGAUAUACAGUAAGCGGCCAAGCGAAAGCAUUAAGUAUUCCACCUGGGGAGUACGCCGGCAACGGUGAAACUCAAAGGAAUUGACG